rnacentral:rRNA from 1 species
AGCGAACGCUGGCGGCAGGCCUAAUACAUGCAAGUCGAGCGGUCCCUUCGGGGGCGGCGGCGGACGGGUGAGUAACGCGUGGGAACGUGCCCUUUGGUACGGAACAACUGAGGGAAACUUCAGCUAAUACCGCAUGUGCCCUUCGGGGGAAAGAUUUAUCGCCAUUGGAGCGGCCCGCGUUGGAUUAGCUAGUUGGUGGGGUAAUGGCCCACCAAGGCGACGAUCCAUAGCUGGUCUGAGAGGAUGAUCAGCCACACUGGGACUGAGACACGGCCCAGACUCCUACGGGAGGCAGCAGUAGGGAAUCUUGCGCAAUGGGCGAAAGCCUGACGCAGCCAUGCCGCGUGAAUGAUGAAGGUCUUAGGAUUGUAAAAUUCUUUCACCGGGGACGAUAAUGACGGUACCCGGAGAAGAAGCCCCGGCUAACUUCGUGCCAGCCGCCGCGGUAAAAC